UAACCGCGGCCAGCGGGGCAGAGCUCGAGGGAGUAAUGCUCUUUAAUGCCAACACCACAGAGAAUGAAGGGGUCUGUGCAUUGAAAACCAGUGGGGAGGCGCGACCCGAAGGAGCGGGCGCGCGGGCCGAUGGCGGCCGAGAGGCGCACGAAGGGGCAGCCGCUAGAUUUUGCAUAGUUCGUGCCGCAGAUGAGGAAUCCCACACCUCAAUUGGUCCAUCAGACGUCGAAUUGAUGUUGUCACGUGGACCCAAGCGCGCGUGUACCAGCCCACGCGUGGACGUCGAGGGAGGGGAGCGUUGUCA
rnacentral:misc_RNA from 1 species